rnacentral:rRNA from 1 species
AGGUAGCGAAAUUCCUUGUCAGGUAAGUUCUGACCCGCACGAAAGGUGUAACGAUUUGGGCGCUGUCUCGGCAGCAGACUCGGUGAAAUCUUAGUACCUGUGAAAAUGCAGGUUACCCGCAACUAGACGGAAAGACCCCAUGGAGCUUUACUGCAGCCUGAUAUUGAAUUCUGGUCAUACAUGUACAGGAUAGGUGGGAGACAAAGAGACGUGCACGCCAGUGUACGAGGAGUCGCCGUUGGGAUACCACUCUUGUGUGACCGGGGUUCUAACCUGGUAUCGAAAACAGGUACGGGGAGAGUGUCAGGUGGGCAGUUUGACUGGGGCGGUCGCCUCCCAAAGAGUAACGGAGGCGCCCAAAGGUACGCUCAGAUUGGAUGGAAACCAAUCGGCGAGUGCAAUUGCAGAAGCGUGCUUGACUGUGAGACUUACAAGUCGAACAGGGACGAAAGUCGGGAAUAGUGAUCCGGCGGUGCCGAAUGGAAGGGCCGUCGCUCAACGGAUAAAAGCUACCCUGGGGAUAACAGGCUGAUCUCCCCCAAGAGUCCACAUCGACGGGGAGGUUUGGCACCUCGAUGUCGGCUCAUCACAUCCUGGGGCUGAAUUCGGUCCCAAGGGUUCGGCUGUUCGCCGAUUAAAGUGGCACGCGAGCUGGGUUCAGAACGUCGUGAGACAGUUCGGUCCCUAUCUGUUGUGGGCGAAGGAGAUCUGCGGAGAGCUGUCCUCAGUACGAGAGGACCGGGAUGGACCUACCGCUGGUGCACCGGUUGUUCCGCCAGGGGCAUAGCCGGGUAGCUAAGUAGGGAAAGGAUAAGCGCUGAAAGCAUCUAAGCACGAAGCCUACUCCAAGAUGAGAUCUCCCAUUCGCAAGAAGUAAGACCCCUUAAAGACGAUAAGGUAGAUAGGCCAGGGAUGGAAGUGCAGUGAUGUACGGAGUUGACUGGUACUAAUCGGUCGAGGACUUAAUCAG